GAUCUAGCAUUUCCAAGUUGGUGGCAUUUGGUGACGCCCAUGUCUGCCUGAAGUGGCCAGUUUGGCAGCCAUUGAAGCUCUCUCUCUGUUUUCUUUUCCUCCCCACUCAUCAAUUUGGCCGCCAGUGCGCAGAUCCACUGAUGGGUUAUGAAUUAUUUGAUAUACAAGACAAGAUGAACCACUACCCAACCCAUAACAUGCUUCCCAUUCUCACCAACAAACCUUUUUGUUGGCAGAUAAGUUUUAAAUUAACAUGUGGAAUAUUAUGUGUACUCUGUCUCAGGGCUGCCCAUAUCUGUUUAAAUAUGUGUGUUCUUGCAGUUCCUUUUAUAGGCCUAUAAGGUGUUUGAUAAAAUGCCUAAGAGACUACAACUUGAGGAGGCCACUGUGAGUUGGGAGAUAGGAAGAGUGAGCCAUGUUGGAGAGGCAGGGCACGUGCUGGAUUUAGCAGCUAGAUGGAAGGUCUUAGCAUGUGCCCUUUUUCACCAACUUGGAUUCUCUUUCUUUUCAGAACAAAUUUGUAUGCCUCUACGUUGAAUGAAGGCAAUUCCAGCAGUGACCGAUGAGGAAGACAGCAAGGGCAACAGCUAGAUGGUGAUUGAAGUCAUUACAAAGGCCUAGAGGAAAGUAAGUGUCAUGACGUGAUUAAAGAGGAUGGUGUUGUCAUCUAAUGCAUCAAAAAUAGUGGAAACGAACGUAAAUCUAAAGCCAAACAAAAACGAAGUGAUAGUGUCGUCUAUGAUGCUAGAGACAAACCUAAUAGGGUCAAAUGGGGCCUUGAGCCAUGACCUCAAAAGUUGUAGUUUUGACCCGUGACUCUAGAAUUAAGUUUCUUUAAGUUAAAAGAUACAAGUUUAUCAA